UACGUAGGGUGCGAGCGUUUAAUCGGAAUUACUGGGCGUAAAGCGUGCGUAGGCGGUUCGUUGUGUCUGUGGUGAAAGCCCCGGGCUUAACCUGGGAAUGGCCAUGGAAACUGGCGAGCUGGAGUGUGGCAGAGGGGGGUGGGAAUUCCGCGUGUAGCAGUGAAAUGCGUAGAGAUGCGGAGGAACACCGAUGGCGAAGGCAGCCCCCCUGGGCUAACACUGACGCUGGAGGCACGAAAGCGUGGGGAGCAAACAGG
rnacentral:rRNA from 1 species